rnacentral:sRNA from 1 species
AGCAUGGUCAGAGGUAGGUAACAAUGGUGUUUCGCCCUACAAUCUACUUUUUGGGAGCGAUCCCUGGUCACGGUGAGCAAGCUCACACCUAUUAGUCCCUCGGGGCGUGUGGGGAGUGAGAAGCCUAAAGUGAUUACUAAUCGCAGCCACCUGUCAUAUGACGGGCGGAACCAAGCAAGCCUCCCUGGCCUUUUUU